AGCGAACGCUGGCGGCAGGCCUAACACAUGCAAGUCGAACGAACCUUUCGGGGUUAGUGGCGGACGGGUGAGUAACACGUGGGAACGUGCCUUUAGGUUCGGAAUAACUCAGGGAAACUUGUGCUAAUACCGAAUGUGCCCUUCGGGGGAAAGAUUAAUCGCCUUUAGAGCGGCCCGCGUCUGAUUAGCUAGUUGGUUGAGGUAAUGGCUCACCAAGGCGACGAUCAGUAGCUGGUCUGAGAGGAUGAUCAGCCACAUUGGGACUGAGACACGACCCAAACUCCUACGGGAGGCAGCAGUGGGGAAUCUUGCGCAAUGGGCGAAAGCCUGACGCAGCCAUGCCGCGUGAAUGAUGAAGGUCUUAGGAUUGUAAAAUUCUUUCACCGGGGACGAUAAUGACGGUACCCGGAGAAGAAGCCCCGGCUAACUUCGUG
rnacentral:rRNA from 1 species